UACGUAGGGUGCAAGCGUUAAUCGGAAUUACUGGGCGUAAAGCGUGCGCAGGCGGUGAUGUAAGACCGAUGUGAAAUCCCCGGGCUUAACCUGGGAACUGCAUUGGUGACUGCAUUGCUCGAGUAUGGCAGAGGGGGGUGGAAUUCCGCGUGUAGCAGUGAAAUGCGUAGAGAUGCGGAGGAACACCGAUGGCGAAGGCAGCCCCCUGGGCCAACACUGACGCUCAGGCACGAAAGCGUGGGGAGCAAACAGG
rnacentral:rRNA from 1 species